GGAUGUGAGGGCGAUCUGGCUGCGACAUCUGUCACCCCAUUGAUCGCCAGGGUUGAUUCGGCUGAUCUGGCUGGCUAGGCGGGUGUCCCCUUCCUCCCUCACCGCUCCAUGUGCCAUGUGCGUCCCUCCCGAUGCUAUGAGCUCAGUGCUCACAGAGGACAACCAUCCCCGAUAGAGGAGGACCAUUCUUCGGUCAAGGGCAUAUGAGUAGCUGCGCUCCCCUGCUAGAACCUCCAAACAAGCUCUAAAAGGGAAUGGAUUCAUUUGGAGUUUUAUUCCAUUUAUAGAGUUUCAGGUCUCCAACACUUAGAGGAAGCAUAU
rnacentral:snRNA from 1 species